AGAAUGUUGGCAUGAGUAGCGUAAGGCAGGUGAGAAUCCUGUCCGCCGAAAAUCUAAGGUUUCCUGAGGAAGGUUCGUCCACUCAGGGUUAGUCGGGACCUAAGCCGAGAGCAAGGCGCUGUAGGCGAUGGACAACAGGUUGAUAUUCCUGUACCACCGAAAGUCGUUUGAGCGAAGUGGGGACACAGAAGGAUAGGUUGAGCACGCUGUUGGUAAUGCGUGUCCAAGCGUCGAGGGAGAACUGGUAGGCAAAUCCGCGAGUUCAAUUCUGAGGCGUGAUGGGGUGGCCGCAAGGCUGGAAGCAACUGAUUUCACACUGUCAAGAAAAGCCGCUAGCGAGACCGUAGGUGCCCGUACCGCAAACCGACACAGGUAGAUGAGGAGAGAAUCCUAAGGUGAGCGAGAGAACUAUUGUUAAGGAACUCGGCAAAAUAACCCCGUAACUUCGGGAGAAGGGGUGCUCCGGAAACGGAGCCGCAGUGAAAAGUCCCAGGCGACUGUUUACCAAAAACACAGGUCUCUGCGAAAGCGAAAGCUGAAGUAUAGGGGCUGACGCCUGCCCGGUGCUGGAAGGUUAAGGGGAUGUGUUAGGGCAACCGAAGCACUGAACUUAAGCCCCAGUAAACGGCGGCCGUAACAAUAACGGUCCUAAGGUAGCGAAAUUCCUUGUCGGGUAAGUUCCGACCCGCACGAAAGGCGUAACGAUCUGGGAACUGUCUCAACAAUAGACUCGGUGAAAUUGUAGUACCGGUAAAGAUGCCGGUUACCCGCAGCAGGACGGAAAGACCCCAUGGAGCUUUACUGUAGCUUGAUAUUGAGAUUCGGCGUUGCAUGUACAGGAUAGGUGGGAGACUGCGAGGUAAGUACGCCAGUAUUUACGGAGUCACCGUUGGGAUACCACCCUUGUAACGUUGAGUUUCUAACAUUGCGCCGUGAUCCGGCGCAUGGACAGUGUCAGGUGGGCAGUUUGACUGGGGCGGUCGCCUCCUAAAGAGUAACGGAGGCGCCCAAAGGUUCCCUCAGUGCGGUCGGAAAUCGCGCGAAGAGUGUAAAGGCAGAAGGGAGCUUGACUGCGAGACAGACAAGUCGAGCAGGGACGAAAGUCGGGCUUAGUGAUCCGGUGGUUCCGCGUGGAAGGGCCAUCGCUCAACGGAUAAAAGCUACCCUGGGGAUAACAGGCUGAUACCGCCCAAGAGUUCACAUCGACGGCGGUGUUUGGCACCUUGAUGUCGGCUCGUCUCAUCCUGGGGCUGAAGUAGGUCCCAAGGGUUGGGCUGUUCGCCCAUUAAAGAGGUACGCGAGCUGGGUUCAGAACGUCGUGAGACAGUUCGGUCCCUAUCCGCUGUGGGCGUUGGAGAUUUGAGUGGAGCUGUUCCUAGUACGAGAGGACCGGGAUGGACGUAGCUCUGGUGCACCAGUUGUUCUGCCAAGGGCAUCGCUGGGUAGCUACCUACGGACGGGAUAAGCGCUGAAAGCAUCUAGGUGCGAAGCCCCCCACGAGAAAAGAUCUCCUCCAAUUAUGGUAAGACCCGUGAGAGACUAUCACGUUGAUAGGUCGGAGGUGUAAGUGUGGUGACACAUUUAGCUGACCGAUACUAAUAGGUCGAAAACUUGACC
rnacentral:rRNA from 1 species